rnacentral:rRNA from 1 species
UACGGAGGGGGCUAGCGUUGUUCGGAAUUACUGGGCGUAAAGGGCUCGUAGGCGGCCAACUAAGUCAUACGUGAAAUCCCUCGGCUUAACCGGGGAACUGCGUCUGAUACUGGAUGGCUUGAGAUUGGGAGAGGGAUGCGGAAUUCCAGGUGUAGCGGUGAAAUGCGUAGAUAUCUGGAGGAACACCGGUGGCGAAGGCGGCAUCCUGGACCAACACUGACGCUGAGUGAGCGAAAGCCAGGGGAGCAAACGGG